rnacentral:lncRNA from 1 species
UCGAGUAAAUUUCAUUUUCCACUUUUUCAUAAAACUAUUCUCGUAAAAAAAUCUUAGAUAAUUAUCAAUUUUAAUUUAAAAGAAUAGUUCAUUUUACAGGAAUACUUUUCUCAAUAAUUUCCAUUAAAAUCUUUUAAAGCCACCAUAAAUUAGGAAAGGAACAUGUAGCCAUUAUUUUAUAUAAUUUUAAAUGCGCUGUAAAAGUUGUUUUUUUUUUUCUGUUUCAUAUAAGAGGUUCUUUUUCAGAAAUACUUUUAAUCAACUUGAAUUUAAAGAAAACAAACAUUUAAUGGGACCUUUUUUUUUUUUUUGUGGGACCUUGUUUCUUUUUAUUAAUUAUGUUUCAUUUUUUUCUACAACAAGUGGACCUUGUUUUAUUUGGCUGACAAUUCGAUUAUCUUUUCUUUGGGUCAAAUUACCCUAUACCACUCUGAGGUAUUGAUCAAACACAGUCAAUCAACCCUCAUGUCUCUUAAAUUACAAAUAUCCCCCUUAGAACCAAUAAUUGGUGUAACUUAUACAUAAAUGGCAUUAUGAUGCCCUCUUAGCACUCGCAGAGUUCAUAACAAUGUGACCACCCCCUGGAUAUGUUAAUACCAGAGAAUCGAGAAAAAAGAGACUAGGGUUUCAUAGAAUUUAGAAUAAUAAUCAAGAAAAAUAAAAAAAGAGUUUAAAUAACCCUAAUAACCAAGAUAUAAACUACUAAUGGUGCCAUGCUCAAAUGAUACUAGUAGAUGACAAUCAAUCUCGCUCUGCUGGUUUCGCUCGAUGAAAAACCGCAUUAUGGCAAUCUGUAUAUCAACUUUUAAUUGUCACAAAACUAGGAGUGGGAGAAAGAAACUGAACAGCAACCCAUAUGUCAGCCAGUACCAUCCGUACCAACUCUCUGUUGUAAGUAAUGCCAUAGCAUGAUACUCGCUUCUGUUGAGAUUUUGAAACACAGAUUGCCUUCUUCGCUUACUCUUUUCCAAGAAAUAAUAGAAAUCACCCACCCAAAAAGAUACAACAGAAUCCAGUGGUAGAUUUGCGAUCAAUAGGAUCACUACCCACUCAGUAUCAGACUAUGCACGCACUUGUAAAAUAAGUGGGAAGUAGUAUAAAGACUUUCCUUUGAAAAGUGUUGAGUACCAUGUAUGGCUACCCUAGAAGGAAAAGGGGGGGGGUCAAACUACGAAGUGACGACAGCCCCAUGAAUAGUAGUCCGCGGAGACUUCACAACUGACUCACAAUAUAACCAACAAGCAUAUGUAAUCAUCUGGUGCGAGUAAUAGUGAGAUAGACCACCUUCCAAACAAUUAGUAUAUAUAAUAGAUGAUCGGAUAAAGGAGACCAUCAGUCGAGACUACCGAACAUUAAGUUCAAGAGAGUUUUUGACAGUCUUAGUAUCAGUAAGACGAGCACGCUCAAGAAUUCUGCAAUAUACUUCGACUGUGAAAGUAGAUAACCCUUAGGUGAAAAGGCUACUUCUAUGUCCCAAAAAAAUUAUAACGUUAGGUCGCCAAAAAUCCCUUCAUUUCAAUAGAGAAGCCAAAUUCUAAUUUCAAUCUGUCAAUUCCACAGCCCAGUCAUCACCUGUAAUCCCAUGUCAUUAACAUAUAAUGAAAGAAGAAUAACGCGACCAGCAGUAAGUGACUUUUAAUAAACAGAGCAGAUCAUGAUUGCUGGAUCGAUAACCAAAAGGUAAUCACAGUAGAGAAUUUUUAAACCAAGCACGGGGUGCCUACUUGAGACCAUAUAAAGCCUUUUUAAGCUACAACUUCUCCAAAAUUGUGGGCAAUACCAGGUAUGGAGUCCAUAUAAACUUCUUCUUUGAAGAUCGCCAUUCAAGAGGCAUUUCUUAACAUCCAUUGAGAAUAUGCCACUGACGAAAGAUGCAAACUGUAGCACUAAGAAGUACGAAUAGUAAGUCAUUUUUGCAACUGGAGCAAACGUCUCCUCAUAAUCUAUACAUACUGUUGAGAAAACCUUUUUGUCACCAAAUAAGCCUUCUAUUGCUCAAUGAACCAUCACCUGGUUUUGAUUUUGUAGACCCACCGAGACCCAUUUUAUACUCUUACCAAUGGUAAGGUCCAAGUCCCAAGUCCAGUGUUUAUGCACAGCAGAAAAUUUCCUCAUCAAGCCUGCUGCCAAAAGGGAUCAAGAAUAGCCCUUUUAUACGAUAUAGGCUUAAAGAUUGUGAAUGUGGUAAGAAAGAAGCAAAAGAACUAGAAUAACAGAAAAGAAAAAUCUGCAAAUUAGUAGACUUACUAAUGCCUUUGGAUGCGAUGAAGAAUGAUCCACCAAUCCUCAGAAUUACUUGGGUAGGCAGAGGCUGAUGAGGAUCACAUCUCAGAUUUGCUGGUGUAGGUAGGCUGCGCUGAUGUUAUCGAAGCAUCAGAUGCGGAAAUACCAAUGUCUGUAUGGAUGGAGGAUGGGGGAACACUGUAUCUUGAUUCUCAAAAAAGGGUCAAUGGCGAAUGAUAUCAGAUUUAGUCAAUUUAUUAUUACUAAUCAGGAUAGA